UACAGAGGGGGCAAGCGUUGUUCGGAAUUAUUGGGCGUAAAGCGCACGUAGGCGGCUUUGUAAGUAAGAGGUGAAAGCCCGGAGCUCAACUCCGGAACUGCCUUUGAGACUGCAUCGCUUGAAUCCAGGAGAGGUGAGUGGAAUUCCGAGUGUAGAGGUGAAAUUCGUAGAUAUUCGGAAGAACACCAGUGGCGAAGGCGGCUCACUGGACUGGUAUUGACGCUGAGGUGCGAAAGCGUGGGGAGCAAACAGG
rnacentral:rRNA from 1 species